rnacentral:rRNA from 1 species
UACGUAGGGGGCGAGCGUUAUCCGGAUUCAUUGGCGUAAAGCGCGCGUAGGCGGCCGCCUAAGCGGAACCUCUAACCCCGGGGCUCAACCUCGGGCCGGGUUCCGGACUGGGCGGCUCGAGUGCGGUAGAGGAGAGCGGAAUUCCCGGUGUAGCGGUGGAAUGCGCAGAUAUCGGGAAGAACACCGAUGGCGAAGGCAGCCUUCUGGGCCACUACUGACGCUGAGGCGCGAAAGCUGGGGGAGCGAACAGG